GUGCCCUCUUCUAAGCUCUUUAUCAUCAUAAUUUCUGAUGUAAAGAGCAUGAUGCCAUGGACAAAAUGGGCCCUCAGUGACUAUCCGAUGCAGGGCCAGGCACUGAAUGCAGAUCACUCAUUCUAGGGAAAAGCCAUGCCCUGGAGACACUCAAGCAGUCCUAUGGAGAGGUCCACAGGGCAAGGAACAGCAGCUUCCUGCCAGCAGCCAGGAGGCCUUGUGAGCCAUGCAAGUCAAUCAUCUUGGAAGUGGAUCCCACAGCCACAGUCAAGCCUUCAGAUGAGAUGGGAGCCCCAGCCAACAUCUUGACUGCAACUUCACAAAAGACUUCAUGCCAAAAACAUCUAGCUAAGCCACUCUCAAGUUCCUGAUCCACAGAAACUGGAUCAGAUCAUCCAUGUUUAUUGUUGUGUUAAACUGCUGAGUUCUGGGAUCAUUUGUUACAGUGGAUAGCUAAUACCGGGGCCUGUGACUAAAUCUGGAGCCACAACCCCCAAUAGGGCAUCAAACCCACAGCGGUGGCCCAGUCAGUGCCCACAGCAGUGAGUGGGGUGAGGAGAUGAGACAUAGGGACCCAGGCAGGGCAUCAACAGGUCCUGCCAUAGCUGGAGCUCCGAAUGACACUCAGAGCAGGCCUGGCUGUGUAGGGCAUGGGCAGGUUCUGGGUUGUUCAGUAUUUCCAGGAAAGGCAGUGAGAGGGAAUUGGUCAUCCUUGUUCCUGGCUCUACCCCCAUAGAUACAGCUAUGUGGCUCAUCUAGGGCAGCAGGCAGGUCAGGGUAGAAGUAAGCACAAGGAGGCAUUUACCUCACCUGGUCUCAAACUCCUGUCUCCCACUUAUUAUCUGGGUUAUCCUACACAAGUGACCUUCACUCUCUUUGCCUCAGUUUCUCAUCUGUGAAAUGGUGAUAAUAAACCCUACUUUGUGGGGUAAUACUCUCACGGUGUGGUAGAGCCUCGUUACACGAAAAUCAGAUGAUAAAAUAAAUAUGCAGCAUCACACAAAGUCGGAGCCCCUUAAGCUGUGGCACCACCCAGCCCCUGGAGCCAAGAGAACAGGUUUAGCUGUGGGUCUGCUUUUCUUUGCCUUCUGACUCCCACGUGGCCCAUAUCCCUAAGGGCAGAAUCAAUUUGUACCGAAGCUUAAGAGGAAAUAUUUCUAAAAGCACCCUGGUUAUUUCUGAUUCAUAUCAAUCUUCCAACUUGUUUGCAGACUAAAACUUGGCCUUGACUUCAUUCCAUUCUCAUGACAACCCUGGUUGCUCACUGAGGCAUGUUUGCUUUGCUUACCUAAGCCUCAGUCUCCUCAUCUGUGAAACGGCGCUAGCAACUCUACUGGAUCCAUUUGGUUGUUGGGUUGGGUUGGGUUAAAUGAAGUCUCAGGGGAAUGGGCCUAGUAGGCUCUCCUCAAAUGCUUAGGAUAACUAUGGCAAUGAAAAUUUCACCAGGGCCUGCAACACUAAAUACACUCUUGUAGCACAAAAUGUAAACAACAUGGGGAUCCUGACUUCUUUUAUAGAAUAAGUCUAUGCUCUUUUUGAGGCCUUCUCCUUGAAUAACUGACUGUUGGAAACCCCAGGAAAUUCUGACAUGAGGCAAGAGUCUGUCUUCCUCCCUGAUCACUUGCUGCAUCAUUCCGUCCAGUGUUCACCUCUGUACCCACUAGUACACCUCCCACAUCAGUGCCCACUGCAUGUAGGUGAAGAACCUAUGGGAUGGAUGGAUGGACUGGUUAGUAGAUGGAUAGAUGGGUAGAUAAGUGGGUGCCUGAGUGUGUGGAUGGAUGUGUGAGUAGAUAAGUGGAUGCGGAUAGAUGGAUGGGUGAACAGAUGGGUAAGUAGGUGGAUGGGUGGGUGAGUGAGUUGAAGAAGGAAGGAAGGAAGGAAGAUUUCAGCUCUCCUUCACUCCAGGCCCCAUGCCAGACCUCACCCUAUUCCUUCCUUGGGGCUCAGUAUAUACAGAGAGAAUUCCUCUCCUGCAGGGAGAGAGGAGAGAGAGA
rnacentral:lncRNA from 1 species